rnacentral:rRNA from 1 species
UACGAAGGGGGCUAGCGUUGUUCGGAAUCACUGGGCGUAAAGCGCACGUAGGCGGAUCUUUAAGUCAGGGGUGAAAUCCUGGAGCUCAACUCCAGAACUGCCUUCGAUACUGGCGAUCUUGGAGUCCGGGAGAGGUGAGUGGAACUCCGAGUGUAGAGGUGAAAUUCGUAGAUAUUCGGAAGAACACCAGUGGCGAAGGCGGCUCACUGGCCCGGUACUGACGCUGAGGUGCGAAAGCGUGGGGAGCAAACAGG